rnacentral:rRNA from 1 species
AGUGAACGCUGGCGGUAGGCCUAACACAUGCAAGUCGAACGGCAGCACAGAGGAGCUUGCUCCUUGGGUGGCGAGAGGCGGACGGGUGAGGAAUACAUCGGAAUCUACUCUGUCGUGGGGGAUAACGUAGGGAAACUUACGCUAAUACCGCAUACGACCUACGGGUGAAAGCAGGGGAUCUUCGGACCUUGCGCGAUUGAAUGAGCCGAUGUCGGAUUAGCUAGUUGGCGGGGUAAAGGCCCACCAAGGCGACGAUCCGUAGCUGGUCUGAGAGGAUGAUCAGCCACACUGGAACUGAGACACGGUCCAGACUCCUACGGGAGGCAGCAGUGGGGAAUAUUGGACAAUGGGCGCAAGCCUGAUCCAGCCAUACCGCGUGGGUGAAGAAGGCCUUCGGGUUGUAAAGCCCUUUUGUUGGGAAAGAAAUCCAGCUGGCUAAUACCCGGUUGGGAUGACGGUACCCAGAGAAUAAGCACCGGCUAACUUCGUGCCAGCCGCCGCCGUAA